AAACAGAAGUGAGAAAAAGAGAAGAGAGAGAGAGAGAGAGAGAGGUGUAGUAGUCAUCAUAGACUUGUUUUAGGGUUUUGAUCCAAAUGCAAAGCAUUGUAAACCCAUUAAAAAGAUUAACUGUACUGACAACUUCCACAUGUCCCUCUUCUUUCUUAACUUGGGAAAAAAAAAUUCCCAUUUUUCCAUCACCGUUUUGCUCCGGAGGAAAGUUCAGGGCAUUCUUGAAUUUGCAUGCACGGUAGAGAAACAAGGUUUGUCCAUGUUUUCUUGAGGUCUGAGCACAUAUUCUUUGUGUUUUUCGCUUGGGGGCCUCUUUUGUUUGGGCUCCUGAGGAAAUUGGAGAUGUGGGCUUCUGUGGAAAUCUUGUUAUGAUGUAGUUAGUACAUGGAAGAUGGGAGUUGAUUCAGGGAAAUUCGUGCGCAUUGUUGUCGGAUUGUUUGUUUGCCUUGUGGGAGGUGUUAGUUGUGUUACAGACCAAAAUGAUUUCAACAUUCUGAGUGAUUUCAGAGAUGGUUUGGAAAAUCCAGAGCUUCUGAAAUGGCCUGAUGAGGGAAAUGAUCCAUGCGGCCCUCCUGCAUGGCCUCAUGUGUUCUGCUCUAAUGGCAGAGUCACACAGAUUCAGGUUCAGGGCCUUGGAUUAGAGGGGCCUUUGCCCCAGAAUUUGAAUCAAUUGGAUAAACUCUACAAUGUUGGCUUUCAGAGGAACAAAUUCACUGGAAAGUUGCCUACUUUUAGUGGAUUAUCUAACUUGGAAUUUGCAUUUUUGGACUUUAAUGAAUUUGAUGCAAUUCCUACUGAUUUCUUUCAUGGGCUUAGUAAUGUUCGUGUGUUGGCUUUGGAUAGUAACCCCUUUAAUCAAAGUUCUGGAUGGACAAUACCUACUGAGCUAGCAGAGUGUUCUCAGUUGGUGAAUUUUUCUUGCUCAGCUUGCAAUAUAGUUGGUACUGUGCCUGAUUUUUUCGGAAAGUUGCCGUCUCUUGCGUCUUUGGAGUUGGCGUAUAAUAGGUUGACUGGUAAUAUACCAUCCACUUUUCAGGAUUCCAUGUUGCAGAUGUUGUGGUUGAAUGAUCAGGAUGGGGGUGGGAUGACUGGUCCAAUCGAUGUAAUCGGUACGAUGGUUGGGUUAACAAUGGUGUGGCUCCAUGGAAAUCAGUUUAGCGGAUCGAUUCCUGAUGAUAUUGGGCGUUUGACGUCCUUGAGGGAACUCAACCUCAACAGAAAUCGGCUAGUCGGUCUGAUCCCAUCAAGCUUGGCUGAUAUGAAACUUGAUCUGUUGGAUUUGAACAAUAAUAUGUUCAUGGGUCCGAUACCUAAGUUCAAAGCUGCAAAUGUUUCUUACAAAUCGAAUUCGUUCUGUCAAUUGGCUCCUGGCGAACAAUGUGCUCCUGAAGUCAGUGCGCUUAUAGAUUUCCUUCAUGGUUUGAAUUAUCCGGUAAGACUUGCUUCUGCAUGGACAGGCAAUGAUCCUUGUAGUGGCCCUUGGUGGGGGAUCACUUGUAACUCAAGGAACCAAGUUUCUGUCAUAAAUUUGCAAAAGCUUGGGCUUAAUGGCACACUUAGUCCUUCACUGGUGAACUUAUCUUCACUCCUUGAAAUUCACUUGGAAGGAAACAAUAUACAUGGCACGGUCCCUGCAAAUCUGACUCAGCUCAGAUCACUGAGAUUGCUGAACUUAAGUGGGAACAAUUUUGAGCCACCAUUGCCAAGAUUCCGUGAUGGAGUGAGAGUAGUAACUGAUGAUAAUGCAAAAUUUCAAGCCAAAGCACCUGAGCAGUCUCCGUCACCAGAUGCUGGACCACCUCUUCCCCCUUCUCCAAAUGACAGUCCACAAUCGCCGCCAAAUGAUAAUCGUCCAUCUGUUGACAGUAAACAGCCACCGGCAGAUUCUCCGUCUUCAGCUAUUAAUUCAAGUCCUCAUCCAACCAGUGCAGUAAAUGAGCAGCAAAACCCCACAAAUUCAACAAAAUCUAGAGUGAUGGUUAUAGCAGCUGCAGCUGCAGGUUCCACUGUUUUUACACUUUUUGCAGUCUUUUUGACUUUCUACUGCAUUCGCAAGAGAAAAGAGACAAAAAAUCCUCCUUCCAGUAUUGUGAUUCAUCCUAAAGAUUCACCGGAUCCUGAUAAUACAGUGAAGAUUGCUGUAGUAGAUGGCUCUGCCUUGGAAGCUCAAACUGGACGUGGUACCAUGAGUGACGGAUUGGAGAACGGUCAGGUGAUUGAGGCUGGGAACCUCCUCAUUUCUCUUCAGGUCCUUCGCAAGGUGACCAACAAUUUUGCACAAGAAAAUGAGCUUGGACGUGGAGGUUUUGGAGUAGUUUACAAGGGUGAGCUGGAAGACGGAACUAAACUAGCAGUAAAGAGAAUGGUAGUUGGGGCCAUGAGUAACAAAGCAUUGGAUGAAUUCCAAUCAGAAAUUGCUGUGCUUUCGCAGGUCCGGCACCGCCAUCUUGUAUCCCUUUUGGGGUACUCUGUCGAAGGAAAUGAGAGGCUUUUGGUUUAUGAAUAUAUGCCUCAAGGUGCUCUGAGUAGACAUCUAUUCCGUUGGAAGAGUCUAGGUUUGGAGCCCUUAUCCUGGACAAGAAGGCUUAACAUUGCUCUUGAUGUUGCUCGAGGAGUGGAAUAUCUCCACACCUUGGCACAUCAGAGCUUUAUACACCGUGAUCUGAAAUCAUCGAAUAUUCUUCUUGAUGAUGAUUUCAGGGCAAAAGUUUCAGACUUUGGAUUGGUGAAGUUGGCACCUGACAGAGAGAGGUCGGUUGCAACUAGGCUGGCUGGAACCUUUGGAUACCUUGCACCUGAAUAUGCGGUGACUGGAAAAGUUACCACAAAGGUCGAUGUCUUCAGCUUCGGGGUGGUAUUAAUGGAACUUUUGACGGGACUAGUGGCACUUGAUGAACAACGUCCUGAGGAAAACCGGUACUUAGCUGAGUGGUUUUGGCAGAUUAAAUCCAACAAAGAGUCACUUAUUGCUUCCAUCGAUCCAGCUCUUGAUGCAAAAGAAGACAUUUACGAAACUAUUUACUCUAUAGCAGCAUUGGCUGGACAUUGCACUGCACGGGAUCCAAAUCACCGCCCGGACAUGGGACACGCCGUAAAUGCGCUAGCUCAAUUGGUCGAGAAAUGGAAACCAUAUGAGGAGACAGAUGAGUUUUCAGGCAUCAACAUGGCAUUGCCUCUUCCACAAAUGCUGAAGGGCUGGCAAGAAGAAGCGGAGACCCAAGAUUUCAGUGGCACUAGUCAGGACAGCAAGGGAAGCAUCCCGGCUAAGCCGUCAGGAUUUGCAGAUUCUUUCACUUCUGCUGAUGCUCGUUAAGUGAAGCUUCAACGAUUAUAGCCUCUUGGCAGUAAACCAGUCUGUUGUAAAGUAGGAAAGUGAUAUGAAUUGCGAAGGCCACUCGGCUCAUAUAUUAAGCACCAAGUAAUGAAAAGAAGAAAGGCUCCUACACCAAGCAAGGAUGAAGUAGGAACCGCAACCACACAUCAAUAUGAGUGCAAAUGGAGGAGAAGAGGGCAUCAUAUUUUAGUCAGAACCCGGACAACUAUCUAUCCCACAUGGAGAGGGAACAGGACGGACUUGAGGGUGAGGCUAAUAAAUUGAAGGGGAGAAGCGAUGUAGAAACUCACGCAGCUGCGCGGUGAGCCCAUAGCGAACUAUUCUUUCGCCUUUUACUAAAGAAUACCGUGUGCUCGCCGCAAUUCAAGCAGCAUACGCCACUUUUUGGAGGGUCCUUUUCCUUUGGAUAAGGCCCCAACAAUCCAGUUUUUAUUAAUUUUUAUUUAGUAUUCUUCCGAAUCCAAUAUUAGCUGUUGUAGUUUAUUCAUAAUAUUUCUUUCAUGGUUUUGUAAUUUUAUAUUAUA